UCUGGGUCAGACAGUGGUCAGCGGUUGAAGAGUUGUAAGACAUUAAAUGAUAGGAAGUAUGGACAGCUGUGACAGUGAUAUUCCCGAUGUUUCUAGAUUAGUAGAUAUACGUCCGUACCAAUUCGAACCACUAGGCAACGAAAUUAAUUCCGGAGAAGACAGUAUUUCCUCGUCAGAGACCUCGGACAUCGCCGACUUGUCUCAGGCCGAAAACCGCCUGAUGAACACCGACUGGUGUGACUGUGGGAAUUGUGAACCCAUGACAACAUCUGAAGAAUGUACAUGUUGUUCGAAUGUAUCAGCUGUAAGUUUCCACAUGCAACCAGAAGACCUGCAGUGCAUCACAGAACACGAUGUGUGUGUUGCCAUCUGCCUCAACAGACACGUUUUACAGGUUAGCAUGUAUGCUUACCUGGAAAAUGUAGGACCUUUUGAUGACAACGAGCCAAUAAAUGAGCGGUACUGCUUCAUGGCAUACAGACGUUUUGUUCAAUGGAUUUGGCAUAGACUAGGACGACACAACAGAAAGAUAUUACCAGCAUGUGUGGUGAAAAAAAUAAGAGAAACUUUUUCAUCGGAG